GCUCUGGCUUCAUCGCGCUUCCGUGUGAAAGCGUUUGCUUGCUGACUGUUUCCUCCCAGCGUAGGGUGAUAUCAAAACCCUCUAAGGUUUGGGCCCUUUCUGCACUGCUGGAGCACCCCACAGUCCUGAUACCUUUAUUCAGGGGUGCUCUUCACAUUUCAUGGGCUCUCCUGUUGGAGGAGAGUUAAUACCUCAGACCACAUAGCUGUGGCUCAGCUGACUCUGGACGGACACACUACCAUGCAGCUCAGGAAGCCUUCUGGACUCUAGGGUGACCUCGAGGAUAGAAAACACACGUGGGAGGUUCCCAUAUGGAAACAAAACCCCAGUGCAACAGGGUUGGCAAGUGGAGCCUAACAGAAGACAAGGACGUCUAAGCCCCCACCAAUGGACUGAAAUGCAUUUAGAGCAUCACGAUGUGGAUGAAUAUGGCACUCAUGGGACGGUCUGACAGGAAGACGGGGUCUGCAUCCCUGACACAGUGCAUGUCAACCACCUGCUUUACCUGAAAGCCAGGUCUUGUGUAAUUGUGUCGUUUCGGGUUUUCUGAAUGUAUGGUAGGAACAGCCCUUUUUGUUUGUUUGUUUAAUUUAGCUUUUAGGAACUUUCUCAACUUAUAAUAAUGAUUACACAAGCUUAUCCCAAGCUUCACUCCUCCUUUAGGCAGGAGUGAAGAUGCUUACUGGGAAGAACAAAAGGCAGGAUGGAUAAUUUUCCUCUAUAUAAUAGAAGACUGUCUCAGACAUAAUUUGUAUUGUUUUAGUGAUACAAACUUUAGAUUAAUUUGAAUGAAAUAAACUAAGUUAGCGGCACAGAGGAGCCGUGUCAUCGGGGGUUACUGCUGAGGUAUACUGUGACUUGAUAAUGCUUACCCAUUGCAUUCAGCUGGGCUAGAUAAAUUGCGCUGGAAAAAUUGUGAUUUUAUUUUAUUUUAUUUUGCAAAUUCUUUAGGGUGAGUCGUGGCUACAUUCUGCUUUUAGAACCAGAAAUUAAUUCUAUCAACACAGGGGGAGUGGGUGAAGAGUUUUAAAAUAGGAAAAAUUAAUUUAUGGUUCAUAGUUUUAUUUAACCUUUCCUGAUAAUAACCUUGCAUUUUCAUGCUGAAAUAAGUAGCUUUCUCAAUCUCAGCCCCGUAAGCCCAUGAAUAGUGACCCGAGGCUGUGUCCUUGGCUGCCUUGAGCUUCUGUCUCUAGGUGCUUUCGUUCUUGUUCUAUGUUUUGUAUUACCAAAUGCUGAUAUCUGCCUAUUGGCAGAUAGGUAUAGGGGUUAUGGGACAUGUGGCCUCUUGGGGACCAGAGACCCGGCAAGUAGGCCCAAUGGUAAAGUGGGCAGCACAGCUGGGCCAGGAUCCUGGGCUCAUCUUGCUUCCCACCCUUCUGCUUUUGUUGUCAGUCCUCACCAUCAACCAGUCCUCAGCGUUCUCUGCUCGAAAGCGGAAGUGAAUUUAGCUAGAGAAUGUUAAAAAAAAUCAGAAAUAAUUUCAUUUGUGGUCUCUGUAAAC